rnacentral:rRNA from 1 species
CACGUAGGGCGCAAGAGUUGUCCGGAAUUAUUGGGCGUAAAGAGCUCGUAGGCGGUCUGUUGCGUCCGCUGUGAAAACUCGGGGCUUAACCCCGAGCCUGCAGUGGAUACGGGCAGACUAGAGGUAGGUAGGGGAGAAUGGAAUUCCCGGUGUAGCGGUGAAAUGCGCAGAUAUCGGGAGGAACACCGGUGGCGAAGGCGGUUCUCUGGGCCUUACCUGACGCUGAGGAGCGAAAGCGUGGGGAGCGAACAGG